UCAACACAUUCUGUAAAGUUUGGUUAUUUUAUAGAUAAAAAAGUUUGAGAUACGGCAUCAUGGGUUAUGGUGGUUUUUAUGGCUCUUUGAGCAGGAGGAAUGGCAGAGCAAUCAACUGGGAAGCCAGCAGAUUCCUAGAGCUCAUCCUGGCCAAUGGGGAGAAUGGAUAUGGUUGAUCCUCACUUGGUGUGUCCAGUACACAGACUGUUGGAAGAGGUGCUGGAAAAUA